UUGGCUGAUCAGAUACGAAGAGCGAGCAAAUCGAUCUGCGCAAACAUCGCGGAAGGUUACGGCAAGCAACACCAUUCCAAGGCUGAAUUUAAACGCUAUCUGGUGAUGGCGAUUGGUUCAAGUGAUGAAAUGAGAGUCUGGCUUCGAUACUGCCUCGAUUUAUCUCUGAUACCUGAGGAUAAAUGGAGUACAUGGAGAGAUGAAUACAAUGAAAUCUCAAAAAUGCUCCAAGGAAUGUACAGAAGUUGGAAAUAGUUUUUAUCAUGCGCGCUAGCGCGAAACUAUUCUGAGCUCUGUCCCCUGUCCUCUGUCUUCUGAUAACGGUAGGAGAACAUUGUGGCCGCCUGAGAAGGUACACCGAAAGGAGUGCUGGAGGUUCCACAAGAGCUUAUGUUGACACGAGUAGCGAUAAAAGGGGUGAGAAACCCCUUCGCCGAAAGCCUAAGGUUUCCUGUAGUCAAGUUAAUCUGCUCAGGGUUAGUCGGCUCCUAAGGCGAGGCCGAGAGGCGUAGUCGAUGGGAAACAGGUUAAUAUUCCUGUACCACUUUCAUAAUGUUAUGGUAAGGGGGGACGGAGAAGGUAAGGCCAUCCGGGCGUUGGUUGUCCCGGUUUAAGCGUGUAGGUGGAGGACUUUGGCAAAUCCGGGUCCUUAUUCAACACUGAGGCGUGAUGACGAUGUCUUUUAGACAGUAAAGUGGCUGGUUCCAUGCUUCCAGGAAAAUCCUCGUAUCUAGUUAUGAAUGUGACCGUACCGUAAACCGACACAGGUAGGCAGGUAGAGAAUACCAAGGCGCUUGAGAGAACUCUGGUUAAGGAACUCGGCAAAAUAGCACCGUAACUUUGGGAGAAGGUGUGCCUGCAUGGUGAUUUUUUUUACAAAUUGAGCCUAGUCAGGUUGCAGUGAAAUGGGGGGAGCGACUGUUUACUAAAAACACAGGACUCUGCGAAGUCGAAAGACGAUGUAUAGGGUCUGACGCCUGCCCGGUGCCGGAAGGUUAAGGGGACGUGUUAGCUUAGGCGAAGCACUGAACCGAAGCCCCGGUAAACGGCGGCCGUAACUAUAACGGUCCUAAGGUAGCGAAAUUCCUUGUCGGGUAAGUUCCGACCUGCACGAAUGGCGUAACGAUUUCCCCACUGUCUCAACCAGAGACUCAGCGAAACUGUAGUACCGGUGAAGAUGCCGGUUACCCGCAACAAGACAGAAAGACCCCGUGAACCUUUACUACAGCUUGGCAUUGGUUUUUGAGGUAACAUGUGUAGGAUAGGUGGGAGACUUUGAAGUGGGCACGCCAGUGUUCAUGGAGUCACCCUUGAAAUACCACCCUUGUUAUCUUAGGAAUCUAACUGCGGUCCGUAAUCCGGA
rnacentral:rRNA from 1 species